rnacentral:sRNA from 1 species
GCCAAUCCGCGUUUUGUUUUCCUCAAAGUCACCGGUCUCUAAUGAUGGCCUAUUCCUCAUGUUCAUGUUCUAUACAGGAACGAUCGUAGCAAAAAUGACGAUACCGAUGAUCUGUUGUCCCAGUCAUGCAAGUGAAGAAAGCUUGGGUGAUACGAGGAAUAUGUCGAGCUUUCGGCACCAACCUCAUCCAUGCUACCAGCCCUAUCUGUUAAGGCGUUUUUGAUUUGGGGCAGUGGAUUGAUCGGGUAAAAGUGUUGAUAUUCGGCAGACGUAAUACUAAGUCCCCAAGAGCAUGGAUUUAGUUUCCCUUCAAGAGGAGAUGGCGGGGUUCGAAGCCUGGGUUGAUA